UGCGGCAGCACGUGGGGACGGGUGGUCCCCGUCGGGCACCCUCGGGGGCCGCUGGCGAUGGGAGAAAACCCACCGGGGGGGCGCGAGCCGCUGCAGGAAGCGCUGUGCGCGGCUCAGGCUUUGCAGCCGUGCCCCCGUUGCACGUUUCGUGCCCUGAAACCCAUUUGUCUGCAUCUUUUGAAAACUUAGAGGCAACCGUUUAAAACUUCAGACGGGUGUUGUCAGGAAGAAGCUGGAGAGAUGGUGACGCAGGUGCUUGCAAAUAUUAGGGGAAAGAGUGGGGACAGGCAAGGGCUGGGAAAGGAAAUCCUAUCAGCAGUCCUGGAGAAGCCACAGAAACUGCUCUGUCUUCUGCCUGCAAGUGUUUUGCGGUGGAAAGCAGCUCCUCCCCGCUGAGCGGUCAGCCCUGCCAUGCCCGCGGGACCUCUCGGGGGGUAGCGAAUGACUCAGGCCCCUUCUGCUCCUUUAUGCCCUGGUGUAAUGAAGAACUUUGACCAUUAUUUGGCCGCUAGAAAACGCAACAGCCCUCAUCUAUGCCAGUGAGUGCUUAGGGGCUCCUUAAUCAAUGGGUUAUUAAACAUAUGCUAAUCCUCUGACAUCCUUGCGUGUCUGGUUAUUCACUAGCAGCUCAAGGAGGGAAUUCAAGAGCACAACUCCCUCUGGCACCAGUGGGAGCUGAUGUUUCCAGAGCAGAAAGGAGAAGGAUUUUCAGGAGCGUGCUCAGGGAAUGGGCGAUCGGCUGCUUGGUGGCAGGUGCCUGCAUCCCGAUUCAACAGGAGUUUCUUCUGCUUAUUGUGGUGCAAGUUUCAGGCUCAGGAGAUUUCUCCCGAGAUACGAGAUUGACGCUGGGGGAGGGAGCAGGUUUGGCUCUGUGACACAGUUCUUUAACACAGGUCGUGCAGUGGGGAAAGGGUUGUGCAAAAUGGUUCUCUGGCCUUGGAGUCAGCCUGUGCUUUUGCUUUGCUGGCACGGAUCAGUGGCAAAAAGCAGAGUUAGUGAAGUGCCACGUUAAAAGGGCUUCAUUGACACUUGCUGACAAGAAGGAAUCCCAUUUCCAUGGGACGGAAAGGCUGUUGUAAUCCAAACAACUGCUAACAAAGUGAUUUCGGAGGAACUGGGAGGCUCAGCUGCUUUGACUCCUCGUGGAGUGGGGCUCUGGAUGGCCAGGGCAGGGCUUGGGGCUUGCGGUCUGCGCAUCCUUCUGCCCUGGCCCAGAUCCACUGGAUCCACGCUGGGGAGGAGGAAAGUGGGCUUCCAGCUCGUUGGAAGAGCGGGGCUGGCUCGGAGGCAGCUCGGGCACGAUGGCUGGGGCUGGAGCUGCAACACAAAGCAGGGACAGGCCUCGUGCCCGUCUGCGUGACCCACCCUUCCCGGGGGAGACGGUUUCCAAGGCAGGUUUCAUCAGAGGCUGAGCAUCCAGUUAAUUGAAGUGAUGAUACAAAGCAGAGAAAUGCUCUCCUCUCGGGGCAAGAGGGAGGCGGGAAACCACAGAGGCCAGAGCACCCUUUGUUUCUCCUGUGGAAACAUGGCAGUGAGGUUCUGCUUGGUGGGAAGCAUCUCCAGAACUUGGUGCUGAAGGUCCUUGCUCCGUCUUCCUCUGCUCGGGGGCUCUCAGUGCCGUUCCCUGGACAUCUGAGCAGUGUUUUGUGCCAGGCACUGCUCUUCCCAUGGGUGCCUCCGUGCUGCCUUACCGAGGCUACCACGGUUUCUCUUUCAAGUGGGAACCAAACACCUUUCUUCCUUGUUCCUGUUUGCGUUAACACCUGUGUUACCAUUUAAAUCCCUUGCCUUCUCCUUUCUCUGCCUGCUGCAGUCUCUCCAGGUCGCUCUUUGUUUCUUGUCUCCUUCUCCCCCUGUCCUGCCCUCAUCGUACUAUGUUCAGGGAAGGUGAAUGCAGCACGUCGGCACGAGGUGGAAGUCCCAGGCUGUAACUAGCGCAUCGCUCUGUAUGCUCGCCAAGUCCUUGUAGCAUGGAAGCUGUGGAGAAAACUUCACUAACGUGGCCUUUCCCCCCGAGCCCGCGUGUCGCAGUUUACAAGCCUGGCAUGCUCGUGCCGAGGGCAGCGGAGCUGCUGACUGGGUCCUGACAUGAGCGGCGCAGCCUGCACGGCUCGUGGUGAGGCAGCCGGAGCCUCUGACCUGGAACAUCUGUGGCUGCGGAUAUGAGGCCCCAGGCAGGCAGGUUUGUCAGGACCCGAAUAUCUCGGCUGGUGCUUGAAGUGUUGCCAGCACAUGUCCUCAGCCUGAUCAGUUUUGUUGCCUGUUGCUUUGCCGUUCUUCCUUUAAUUUACUAUUUCCUCGCCUACAGUUUUUAGCAGAGACUCCAACUCCUGAAACACGGCCAAUCUUCCGAGCAUCGCGAGCUGCCUCAGAGCAGCAGCCUGCCCGUGGCUCGGGGCUGGCAGGGAGCAAGGUGCUGUGCGAGAGCUCGCGGUGCACAGCGGCACCUCAGUGGCAGUAACGCCUUCCUGCUGAAGGUCGCUGCCGAUGCUAACCCAGGCUCUUCCUGGCGCCCUCCCAGGAGGGAUUUGCUCAUGGAUAAGAAUGAACAGAGAUACGGCAGCCUUUGAAGGUGUGCUGCGGGGCCACGGUUCAUCCCAAGCCGUGGUUUGGGGCAAUUGAGCUGUCUGUGAGCCCAGCCCAAGCAGAGCUGGGAUCCUGUCCGAGCAGGAUUUGCUUUCUGCCUGUGGCACAAUGGGAAGCUGGAGGAGCUCGCAGGAAGAGCCGGCCCCUGGCGCCACUCCAGGCUCGGCUUCCAGAGCCCCGGGUGAGGAUGCAUGUGGGCUUUCUCUCCCCGAGCCUCAGUGUGUGCAAAGAGCGAUCUCUCCUUUCUGCGCGGCGCCAAAACGGGAUGUGCGUCAGGAAGGGCCGCUCAGCUGGCGUUUUUAUGAGCACUUCUCAAGGCUGUGUUUUGGGGAAUUUGCAGGAAGCCGUGGGGGCUCGGGGCAUUUCAGCCCUCUUGCACGCAUGUGUCCUUCACGUGGUGGCCCUCGGGAGCGCGUGCUCCGCUCACAUUCCUGAUGAGAGGCGUGGUGGGAUGGGCGAGCUCUUGUUUUCGAUGCAGAUGGUCCUUUUGUUUGUGCCGUGCCUGGGAGGAGCUUCCCCCUCCUUGGGGGGGCUGCAGGGAAGAUCCAUGCUCUCAGAGGGAGGACAGAGAGAGACUCUGGAGCUGUUCUCUGAAUUGCUGCUUUUCUUCCAAUUCGCUCCCAAGCCUGCCUUCUCGCAGAUCCAUCCUUCAAUUUAUUGUUCCCCUCGUUUUUCCCUUUCUGCUACCAGCAUCUGAUUUCUGGCCUAGCCCUUCCUCAAGAAGAGGCCUUUGGCAGGCUGGGAGGCUCCUACCAUGCGACCGAAUGUCCAUCGAGAGGCACGCCAGCCCCCGCUAGAUCCAAUUGAAGCUGACUCUAAACAGAGCUCCCCGAAUGCACGCUGACCUGGGAUGAACCGCCACACUGCAGCCAGCCCCAUUCGUUCUUUCAGCUUUGGCAGGGAGCAGAAACAAGCUGUUUUCUGUCCCAUUUCCAAAUGGCUCUACUCAUUCUCCAUGGGGAGGGCUGGAUGCCAUCCAGCUCGUUCCUUGGAGCAGAGCUUGCGAGAUUUUGCCCUUUGUCCGCCCUGCUGGCGGGAGGAGGAGGCGGUGGUGGUGGGACAGAGAGGGGAGAGCAAGGAGGUAUCUGGAAGGGGCAGGACCAGAGCGCUGUCCCGGAUGAAGAGGGGUGGAUGGAGCCCCCGAGCCUGCUCCACGGAGCUCCAUUAGCCAGGAAGGAUGGGAGGAAGGUCUCGAUGUGAGCUGCUCUAAUAAAAUUUCCUGAAUUUAAA